UGGGGAAUAUUGCACAAUGGAGGGAACUCUGAUGCAGCGACGCCGCGUGUGUGAUGAAGGAAUUCGUUUCGUAAAACUCUGUUCUAUGGGAAGAAAAGGACUGUACCAUAGGAGAAAGCUCCGGCUAAAUACGUGCCAGCAGCCGCGGUAAUACGUAUGGAGCGAGCGUUGUCCGGAAUUAUUGGGCGUAAAGGGUGCGCAGGCGGCUUUACAAGUUGGAUGUGAAAUAUUGUGGCUCAACCACAAACGUGCAUCCAAAACUGCAAAGCUUGAGUUAAGGAGAGGUAAGUGGAAUUCCUGGUGUAGCGGUGGAAUGCGUAGAUAUCAGGAGGAAUACCGGUGGCGAAGGCGACUUACUGGACUUAAACUGACGCUCAGGCACGAAAGCGUGGGGAGCAAACAGG
rnacentral:rRNA from 1 species